UGCAGGCGUGCAGGUCGGUGGUGUUACACACAUUUGGGCUGUUGCAGGCGUACAGGUCAGUGGUGUUACACACAUGCUGUUGCAGGAGUACAGGUCGGUGGUGUUACACACAUUCAUGCUGUUGCAGGCGUGCAGGUUGGUGCUGUUACACACAUGCUGUUGCAGGAGUACAGGUCGGUGGUGUUACAUGCUGUUGCAGGCGUGCAGGUCGGUGGUGUUACAUUCACGCUGUUGCAGGCGUGCAGGUCGGUGCUGUUACACACAUUCCUGCUGUUGCAGGAGUACAGGUCGGUGGUGUUACACGUGCUGUUGCAGGUGUGCAGGUCGGUGGUGGUACACACAUUCAUGCUGUUGCAGGAGUAUAGGUCGGUGGUGUUACACACAUUCACUGUUGCAGGCGUGCAGGUCGGUGGUGUUACACAUUCACGCUGUUGCAGGCGUGCAGGUCGGUGGUGUUACAUUCACGCUGUUGCAGACGUGCAGGUCAGUGCUGUUACACACGCUGUUGCAGGCGUGCAGGUUGGUGGUGUUACAUUCACACUGUUGCAGGCGUGCAGGUCGGUGGUGUUACACACAUUCAUUCUGUUGCAGGCGUGCAGGUCAGUGUUACACACAUUCACGCUGUUGCAGGCGUGCAGGUCGGUGGUGUUACACACAUUCACGCUGUUGCAGAUGUGCAGGUCGGUGCUGUUACAUUCACGCUGUUGCAAGCGUGCAGGUCGGUGGUGUUACAUUCACGCUGUUGCUGGCGUGCAGGUCGGUGGUGUUACACACAUUCACACUGUUGCAGACAUGCAGGUCGGUGCUGUUACACACAUUCAUGCUGUUGCAGGCGUGCAGGUCGGUGGUGUUACAUUCACACUUGCAGGCGUGCAGGUCGGUGGUGUUACACACAUUCAUGCUGUUGCAGGCGUGCAGGUCGGUGGUGUUACACACAUUCACACUGUUGCAGGCGUGCAGGUCGGUGGUGUUACAUUCAUGCUGUUGCAGGCGUGCAGGUCAGUGGUGUUACACACAUUCACGCUGUUGCAGGCAUGCAGGUCGGUGGUGUUACACACAUUCACGCUUUUGCAGGCGUGCAGGUCGGUGGUACACAUGCUGUUGCAGGCGUGCAGGUCGGUGGUGUUACACAUUUUCACGCUGUUGCAGACGUGCAGGUCAGUGGUGUUACAUUCAUGCUGUUGCAGGCGUGCAGGUCGGUGGUGUUACAUUCACGCUGGUGCAGGCAUGCAGGUCGGUGGUGUUACACACAACGCUGUUGCAGGCGUGCAGGUCAGUGGUACACACAUUCACGCUAUUGCAGGCGUGCAGGCCGGUGGUGUUACAUUCACGCUGUUGCAGGCGUGCAGGUUGGUGUUACACACAUUCACACUUGCAGGCGUGCGGGUCGGUGGUGUUACACACAUUCAUGCUGUUGCAGGCGUGCAGGUCGGUGUUACACACAUUCACACUUGCAGGCGUGCAGGUCGGUGGUGUUACACACAUUCACACUGUUGCAGGCGUGCAGGUCCGUGGUGUUACACACAUGCUGUUGCAGGCGUGCAGGUCGGUGGU
rnacentral:lncRNA from 1 species